rnacentral:rRNA from 1 species
ACGUAGGGAGCAAGCGUUAUCCGGAUUUACUGGGUGUAAAGGGCGCGUAGGCGGGAAUGCAAGUCAGAUGUGAAAUCUGAGGGCUCAACCCUCAAACUGCAUUUGAAACUGUAUUUCUUGAGUGAUGGAGAGGCAAGUGGAAUUCCUAGUGUAGCGGUGAAAUGCGUAGAUAUUAGGAGGAACACCAGUGGCGAAGGCGACUUGCUGGACAUUAACUGACGCUGAGGCGCGAAAGCGUGGGGAGCAAACAG